rnacentral:rRNA from 1 species
AAUAGAUACCCGGGUAGUCCACUCCGUAAACGUUGGGAACUAGUUGUGGGGGCCUUUCUACGGUCUCCGUGACGCAGCUAACGCAUUAAGUUCCCCGCCUGGGGAGUACGGCCGCAAGGCUAAAACUCAAAGGAAUUGACGGGGACCCGCACAAGCGGCGGAGCAUGCGGAUUAAUUCGAUGCAACGCGAAGAACCUUACCAAGGCUUGACAUAUACCGGAAACGGCUGGAAACAGUCGCCCCCUUGUGGUCGGUAUACAGGUGGUGCAUGGUUGUCGUCAGCUCGUGUCGUGAGAUGUUGGGUUAAGUCCCGCAACGAGCGCAACCCUCGUUCUAUGUUGCCAGCACGUUAUGGUGGGAACUCAUGGAAUACUGCCGGGGUCAACUCGGAGGAAGGUGGGGAUGACGUCAAAUCAUCAUGCCCCUUAUGUCUUGGGCUUCACGCAUGCUACAAUGGCCGAUACAAUGGGCUGCGAUACCGCGAGGUGGAGCGAAUCCCAAAAAGUCGGUCUCAGUUCGGAUUGGGGUCUGCAACUCGACCCCAUG